rfam:Triticum aestivum genome assembly, contig: Triticum_aestivum_CS42_TGACv1_scaffold_405016_5BL
UAUCUACCCUCUCUGUCUCGAAUUACUUGUUGCAGAAAUGGAUGUAUCUAGACGUAUUUUUGGUUCUAGAUACAUCUAUUUCUAUCCAUUUUUGCGACAAGUAAUUUGUGACAAAAGGAGUAUAUU